rnacentral:rRNA from 1 species
UGUUUCUGGCUCAGGACGAACGCUGGCGGCGUGCUUAACACAUGCAAGUCGAACGGUGAAGCCCUUCGGGGUGGAUCAGUGGCGAACGGGUGAGUAACACGUGGGCAAUCUGCCCUGCACUCUGGGACAAGCCCUGGAAACGGGGUCUAAUACCGGAUAUUACUGUCGCAGGCAUCUGUGAUGGUGGAAAGCUCCGGCGGUGCAGGAUGAGCCCGCGGCCUAUCAGCUUGUUGGUGGGGUGAUGGCCUACCAAGGCGACGACGGGUAGCCGGCCUGAGAGGGCGACCGGCCACACUGGGACUGAGACACGGCCCAGACUCCUACGGGAGGCAGCAGUGGGGAAUAUUGCACAAUGGGCGAAAGCCUGAUGCAGCGACGCCGCGUGAGGGAUGACGGCCUUCGGGUUGUAAACCUCUUUCAGCAGGGAAGAAGCGAAAGUGACGGUACCUGCAGAAGAAGCACCGGCUAACUACGUGCCAGCAGCCGCGGUAAUACGUAGGGUGCGAGCGUUGUCCGGAAUUAUUGGGCGUAAAGAGCUCGUAGGCGGCUUGUCGCGUCGGAUGUGAAAGCCCGGGGCUUAACUCCGGGUCUGCAUUCGAUACGGGCAGGCUAGAGUUCGGUAGGGGAGAUCGGAAUUCCUGGUGUAGCGGUGAAAUGCGCAGAUAUCAGGAGGAACACCGGUGGCGAAGGCGGAUCUCUGGGCCGAUACUGACGCUGAGGAGCGAAAGCGUGGGGAGCGAACAGGAUUAGAUACCCUGGUAGUCCACGCCGUAAACGUUGGGAACUAGGUGUGGGCGACAUUCCACGUCGUCCGUGCCGCAGCUAACGCAUUAAGUCCCCGCC